rnacentral:rRNA from 1 species
UACGUAGGCAGCAAGCGUUGUUCGGAGUUACUGGGCGUAAAGGGUGUGUAGGCGGUUCUUUCAGUUUGCUGUUAAAUCUCCCGGCUUAACCGGGAGGGUGCGGUGAAUACUGAGGGACUAGAGUACGGGAGAGGAAAGUGGAAUUCCUGGUGUAGCGGUGAAAUGCGUAGAUAUCAGGAGGAACACCGGUGGUGUAGACGGCUUUCUGGACCGACACUGACGCUGAGACACGAAAGCGUGGGUAGCAAACAGG